GUGUUAAAGAAUGUGCAGUCUUGCUUUUAUUUGCACGACUCUUAGUUUUCCCCUAUAGAUCUGUGAUAGUGCAGCGCAGAAGGUCGUCGAACCUGAAUUGAACUGCGGCUCAUUAUGGCAUUUGGGCUGACGCCAAGUUGUCGCCGGUCGCCAGUCGCCAGGAGGCGUAACGCUUAAUGGCAACGAGUCGGAAUUACAAUGUUGGCUGUGUCCAUUUUGAUUUUAUUGCAUGCCAGGGAAUAAGUUUGUUUCUUCUGGGGAGAGCACUCCUUUGAUUAAGGCCAGAGACAGAGUCAGNNNNNNNNNNNNUGAAGGGGGAACACGCUGCUUGUACCCGUUUAACCCGUUUCCGUUUCCAGCAUGUCACACUUGCCAGGGAAGGCCGAAUGCCAUCGCAGUACCAGUCUCAGUCUCAGUCCCAGCCCCGAGACAACAGGCAACAGGCCAGGGCCCGUCUGUGUGUGUGACGUCAAUUUGUUGUUUGUUUGCUGGACUGGAUGUUGGACUGGACGGAGGAGACUCCUCAACUCACGCUGCGGCGCACGCUGGAAUUUAUUAAUUAUGCCCGGGCUCUUCGUUCUGUUCUGUUGUGGCACAGGUCUCGCUCCAUACCCCACACCGCAUACCGCACCCCGCGUUAAGGUCGAAUGCGAUGAACUAUGCUAAAAAUUCCACUCGAAGCGACCGAUUUGUGGCUGAUUUAUUGUUUAUUCGCUUUCAGUAUUUUACGAGUAUUACGAGUCGUGUUUUUGCCUUUUUGUUUUUGGCCUACGUGCCAUAUCCAUCCCCAGUCCAAGCCACAACCCCACUGUCCGUAUGUCCCAUGGGUUUAUGUUUUUACCUCUCGAUAUUCUGGUUAUGACCCCUAGACAAAUUGAUAAUUUAUUGCGUAUGUAUGUGGCUUAGUUUUCUUGUUUUGACACGACGCAUAAUUAGCAAUUAAUUUUGUAUAUUCUUUACGGCA
rnacentral:lncRNA from 1 species